ACAAUGACUGCUAGUGUUAGGGGGUUUCCGCCCCUUAUUGCUGCAGCUAACGCAUUAAGCACUCCGCCUGGGGAGUACGGUCGCAAGACUGAAACUCAAAGGAAUUGACGGGGGCCCGCACAAGCGGUGGAGCAUGUGGUUUAAUUCAAAGCAACGCGAAAAACCUUACCAGGUCUUGACAUCCUCUGACACCCCUAAAGAUAGGGCUUUCCCUUCGGGGACAGAGUGACAGGUGGUGCAUGGUUGUCGUCAGCUCGUGUCGUGAGAUGUUGGGUUAAGUCCCGCAACGAGCGCAACCCUUGAUCUUAGUUGCCAGCAUUCAGUUGGGCACUCUAAGGUGACUGCCGGUGACAAACCGGAGGAAGGUGGGGAUGACGUCAAAUCAUCAUGCCCCUUAUGACCUGGGCUACACACGUGCUACAAUGGACAGAACAAAGGGCUGCGAGACCGCAAGGUUUAGCCAAUCCCACAAAUCUGUUCUCAGUUCGGAUCGCAGUCUGCAACUCGACUGCGUGAAGCUGGAAUCGCUAGUAAUCGCGGAUCAGCAUGCCGCGGUGAAUACGUUCCCGGGCCUUGUACACACCGCCCGUCACACCACGAGAGUUUGCAACACCCGAAGUCGGUGAGGUAACCUUUAUGGAGCCAGCCGCCGAAGGUGGGGCAGAUGAUUGGGGUGAAGUCGUACAGGGUAAAAGGAAAAAAA
rnacentral:rRNA from 1 species